rnacentral:rRNA from 1 species
UGGGGAAUAUUGGACAAUGGGGGCAACCCUGAUCCAGCAAUGCCGCGUGUGUGAAGAAGGCCUGCGGGUUGUAAAGCACUUUUGGCAGGGAUGAAAAGCACUGGAUUAAUAACCCAGUGUGUUGACCUAACCUGCAGAAGAAGCACCGGCUAACUCUGUGCCAGCAGCCGCGGUAAUACAGAGGUGGCGAGCGUUAUUCGGAAUUAUUGGGCGUAAAGGGCGCGUAGGCGGCCAGAUAAGUCCCGGGUGAAAUCCCUCGGCUCAACCGAGGAACUGCCUUGGAAACUGUCUGGCUCGAGGCCGGGAGAGGGUAGUGGAAUUCCCAGUGUAGCGGUGAAAUGCGUAGAUACUGGGAGGAACACCGGUGGCGAAGGCGGCUACCUGGACCGGUUCUGACGCUGAUGCGCGAAAGCGUGGGGAGCAAACAGGAUUAGAUACCCCCGUAGUCCCUGAGCGGGCUGGCAAGGCGCAU